rnacentral:lncRNA from 1 species
AAUACUAUCCACAUUAAUCCACUGUGAUACCAUCUUUAGUAAUCAUUAUAAUUUAGACUAAGUUUUUUAUCCGGUCUAACUCCGGGUGACCUAAUGUUGUGAUCAGAAUUUUGCAUUGGACAAGAUUAAGAAAACAUAGUCUUCUGCAGUACUGCAAAUUACUUGUGUGCACCAACAUGUUUACUUGUUGACAGUAAUCUCUUAUGGCAUGUUUGGUUGGUAGGAAAUUUUGGAUAGUGAUAAACGGCGUUAAAAUCUUACUCCCAGUACUUUUCAGAAUUGUUCAAUACUGUGGACCAUAACCAUGCAUUAAGAGCAUUUUUAAGAGACUCUUCAAACAUAAAGCAUAGAAAGUAUUUCAAUUCUCAAUGGUAGAAAAUAAUAUAAUAAUUUGGAGGGAAGCUAGUGAAAAUAAAAGAUAGGGAAAAAUAAUAAAUACCUUUUGAGAGUAGUAAAAUUAAGUAUUAAAGAUAAAAAAGCCUUUUGGAGUACUUUAAGAUUUUACUCUUUAAAUUUAUAGAUGCUCUUUGAAUUGUUAAAUGUGCUCUUUAAUAAUAAGGAGUCUAUUGGAGAUACUCGCGUAAACAGUUUUUGUUUGUUUUCUAUUUUCCAUGAGAACAAUUUGAUUAUGGCAUGUUUGAUGAGAUGGAUUGGCCUUGAUUGGAUGUUAAAUAACUAAUUUCGGUCAGAAUUAGUCAAAAUGAAUAAAUAGACUCUACUACGAUAUUAAAUAAAAUAUUCAAAAUAAUUAAAAAAUAAUCAAAACAUUUUGAAGAUCGCAUAACUCGGAAAAGUCCUUGAUCUAAGCAUAAAUAAUUAGAUUCGAAUUUCGAGGAUUGAAUAACAAAUAUUUUAUAAAGGAAUAUUGGCAAACUUACGGUCCGGGUAUGCAAACUUUAGGCAGCUGAAGCGAAUAUUCAUGAGUGCAAGAACCCACAACUAAAAGUGGGGAAUUGAUUUUAUCGAAUCAUUCUACAUCAGCAAAAAUCAUUAUCAAAGCACACAUGAAUAGAGGUAUAAAGCAUGACUUCAUAAUCAAUGAAUUAAAGACACAUAGGUUGGCAAACAAAACGUAAAUUACUAAUAGAAUCAGUUAGAAAUCAAUCAAUCAAUCAAUGGCUACCACAUAUCACUACCUAAAAAGACCCAUUAUCCCAAACUCUGAAUAGAAAUCUAUAAACAUGCAUUAUUGGGAUGAAGAAUGAAAUGCUGAAAUUGAAAUACCUUCUCCCCAAAUAUCCAUGUCUCCUCUCAAGCAGCAUAAUAAUGAGUUUAAGAGGGAAAAUUUCUAGUUAAGUGUGAGAAAUUUGUUGAUAAUCUUUUUGAGGUCAACACCUGACAUGAUUAAAUAAACUAAAAAUAUUAAAAAUCAUAGUAUUUUUAAGGUAUCGUCUACUACUGCAUAUCAAGCAUGCUCUUAGAUCAUAUGCAAGGUAGAAGUGCAUUGUAAGUUUAGUUCAAAUUUAGGUCCUUUUUUGUAUUUUGAAAACUGAUAUUUGAAGCAAUGAGUUGUUACGAAGUUAACUACGAAUAUCAUCUAAUGGAAUAUUUUCUUAUGAAUAUUCAGUGUGUUUGAGACAUAUUAUUUUGAAAGAAUGUAUUUUAGAAUAGUAGAUCGAUGGAGAAUGUGUGGUUAAAAAAUGAAGAAAAGUUUUGGAUUUGCGUAUACUAUUAUUUUAUUGAAGAAUGUGUAAUUGAAAUGAUAUCAAAUCACUAUCUAAGAAUAAAUUUUUUUGAAAGAAUGCGGCACAAACAGGGCUUAGCCCCUACUUGGCCCUUAUUUAGAAAACUCAUUUUCAACCAUAAGUUUAUUGGGACUCACAACUUUUACCAGCUUUUCAACUAUGCAUUUCAACUUUUUUCAAGAUCUACUAAAAAAUUGAUUUUUAGCUAAACCAAACGGGGCUUAAUUUCAUGGGAUCAUCAAUUCCCUGAGCAGCAACAUGCUUUUUCUGGAUGUGAAUAAUUGCAAUCUGAGCAUUUUCUACUAUGCUUGUAUUUCUCUUGUGCUGUCUUCUCUAAAGAAUGAGAACAGAAGGGCAGGGGAGAGAGAGCAGCAAGGGAACCUUUUUUUGGAAUUCAUUCACCCAGGUGGAGACUUGUAAUUGCAGAAACCAAUAAAUUGCUUGUUGAGUUAUGAGAAUAGUUCCACAGUGCAGUUGUCUGGCUUUUCUUGCACGUAAAUUAUGUUUAAUGUUAAUUAUGUUUUCUUAUUUUCUUGAAUUAUUUCUCAUAUAGUUUGAUUGUAAAAGAUAAAUUCCUUUCUAAAUGUAAACCUAUAAAUGGGGUCUUUCUUCUUAACUAGUAGAUAUAAUCUCUUGUUAAUUUUAUUGUUUUUUGUUCCCGUGGUUGUUAUUGUUAAUAAAGUGGUGAGACCAGUCUUCGUUAUAGACUCGUUUUGAGUGCCUAAAAUUUCAUAUUAGAGCAAUAUAUACAUGUAUAUAUAUUUUAUGCAUGAAUAUUAGGUUGUCAAGUGCUUGCUCUGUCAUCCAUGUGUGAUGGUGGCAGUACAUUAUGAUCUAUAUCUCCUGUCUGCGGUUUUCUACUUGCCUAACACGAAGUUAACUACGAAUAUCAUCUAAUGGAAUAUUUUCUUAUGAAUAUUCAGUGUGUUUGAGCCAUAUUAUUUUGAAAGAAUGUAUUUUAGAAUAGUAGAUCGAUGGAGAAUGUGUGGUUAAAAAAUGAAGAAAAGUUUUGGAUUUGCGUAUACUAUUAUUUUAUUGAAGAAUGUGUAAUUGAAAUGAUAUCAAAUCACUAUCUAAGAAUAAAUUUUUUUGAAAGAAUGCGGCACAAACAGGGCUUAGCCCCUACUU